AGAUCACACUAUUGCACUCCAGCCUGGGCAAGACAGAGACAGGGCAGGGCGAUCAGGAGCAGCGUGAGCCAAAGGAGGACCAUCGGGAACGCAGCUCCGGAACGCAGGACAGAGGUGCCUGCUGCAGGAGAAACGAGAGUCAGGCAGCGGGGACUGGCUGUGAAACUGGGUUGCGGGUAAUGAAGGAUGCUUGCCCCUUCCAGAGCCUGGUGCUCACAGCAGAAGGAGCUGCUUCUGGAGGGAAAGCGGUGAACAUUGUCACGACCCCAAAAGGAGACUCCAGACCCAUUAAAGACCCGUCCUUCCUCUUCCCCAGCCUGUGGCAACCACUCAUCCACUUUCUGUCUCUGUGGAUUUGCCUGUAUCUGGACAUAGGGAAUAAAUGGAAUCAUACAGACACUAUGUAUCUUUUUGUAUCUGGCCUCUCUCAGGAAGCAUGAUGUCCUCAGCAUUCACCCACAUUGCCACCUGUGGCAGAGCCUCGUUCCUUUUCAUGGCUGUGUAAUAUUCCACCGUGUGGCUGGACCACAUUAUAUUUCUCCAUUCAUCUAUAGAUGGGUAUGAGGACUCUCUCCACCUCUUGGCUAGUGUGAAUAAAGCUGCUUAUUCCUUUUCAUGGCUGUGUAAUAUUCCACCGUGUGGCUGGACCACAUUAUAUUUCUCCAUUCAUCUAUAGAUGGGGUAUGAGGGCUGUCUCCACCUCUUGGCUAUUGUGAAUAAAGCUGCUUGUUCCUUUUCAUGGCUGUGUAAUAUUCCACUGUGUGGAUGGACAUUAUAUUUUUCCAUUCAUCUAUAGAUGGGUAUGAGGGCUGUCUCCACCUCUUGGCUAUUGUGAAUAAAGCUGCUUGUUCCUUUUCAUGGCUGUGUAAUAUUCCACUGUGUGGAUGGACAUUAUAUUUCUCCCUUCAUCUAUAGAUGGGGGUAUGAGGGCUGUCUCCACCUCUUGGCUAUUGUGAAUAAAGCUGCUUGUUCCUUUUCAUGGCUGUAUAAUAUUCCACUGUGUGUCUGGACCACAUUAUAUUUCUCCAUUCAUCUAUAGAUGGGUACGAGGGCUGUCUCCACCUCUUGGCUAUUGUGAAUAAAGCUGCUUGUUCCUUUUCAUGGCUGUAUAAUAUUCCACUGUGUGGCUGGACCACAUUAUAUUUCUCCAUUCAUCUAUAGAUGGGUAUGAGGGCUGUCUCCACCUCUUGGCUAUUGUGAAUAAAGCUGCUUGUUCCUUUUCAUGGCUGUGUAAUAUUCCACUGUGUGGCUGGACCACAUUAUAUUUAUCCAUUCGUCUAUAGAUGGGUAUG
rnacentral:lncRNA from 10 species